AGCCCCAUGGCUUGGUUGGUUAAAGUGCCUGUCUCGUAAACAGGAGAUCCUGAGUUCGAAUCCCAGUGGGGCCU